UAAAUUUAUUAAAAGCUUUGAAUGGAUACCUUGGGUAAAAAAGAGGAUGAAGGACGUAGUUGGUUGCGAAAAGCUUCGGUAAGGUACCAACAACCGCUUGGAACCGAAGAUCUCCGAAUGGGGGAACCUAUUCUGUAUAACAGAAUGCAAGAGCCAAGACCAUGCGAAUUGAAAUAUCUUAGUAGCAUGAGGAAAAGAAAUCGUAAGAGAUUCUCUUAGUAGCGACGAGCGAACGGGGAACAGUCCAAACCUAAUCAGUGUAAGCUUCUAGGCGUUGCUGGUUGAGGGGUUGUGGGAUAUCUCAGAAAUUGCUAGAACAGUUUCAGGAGUUACAAUAUUUAUCUAAAAGAAUCUUUUGAGAGGAGAACCAUAGAGGGUUACAGUCCCGUAUUUGAAAGGUGAAUAUACUUCGAGAUACAUCCCAAGUAGCGUCAAACACGUGAAAUUUGGCGUGAAUCUGGGCCGACCACGGUCUAAGACUAAAUACUUUUUUACACCGAUAGUGAACUAGUACCGUGAGGGAAAGGUGAAAAGAACCCCUGGUAGGGGAGUGAAAUAGAAUUUGAAAUUCAUAGCUUACAAUUGAGUGGGAGCCUUCGGGUGACCACGUACCUAUUGACGAAUGGGUCAGCGAGUUAUUGGUGCUAGCAAGGUUAAGGCAGGUAUAGCCGGAGCCGUAGGGAAACCGAGUCUGAAUAGGGCGACAUAGUUAGUGCUGAUAGACCCGAAGCGAUAUGAGCUAAGCAUGGGCAGGUUGAAGGUAUGCGAGAGCAUACUGGAGGACCGAACGGGUUGGUGCUGCAAAACCUUCCGAUGACCUGUGUUUAGGAGUGAAAAGCUCAUCGAAUAUCGCGAUAGCUGGUUCUCUCCGAAAUGCAUUUAGGUGCAGCCUAUAAUCAAGAUCUCAUAGAGGUAGAGCUCUGAUAAGGCUAGGGGUGUCGAGAGACAUUACCAAACCUUGUUAAACUUCGAAUGCUAUGAGGAAUAUUAUAGAGUGAGACUGCGGGAGCAAGUUUCGUAGUCGAAAGGAUAACAGUCCAGACUUCUGAUUAAGGUCCCUAAAGUAGUACUAAGUGGAAAAAGAGGUGUCUUUGCUAAGACAUUCAGGAGGUUUGCCUAGAAGCAGCAAUCCUUUAAAGAUAGCGUAACAGCUCACUGAACUAGUGAAGAUGCGCUGAAGAUGUAACGGGGCUAAGUACUAUACCGAAAUCGAAGGCCUAAUUUAUUAGGCGGUAGGAGAGUGUUCUUUUUUGGAUGAACCUACACUGCGAGGUGUAGCGGACAAAAAGAAGUAAUAAUGCUGACAUGAGUAACGCCUCAUGAUGAAAAAUCAUGACGCCGAAACCCCCAGGAUUCCUACGCAACGUUAAUCGUCGUAGGGUUAGGCGGGACCUAACUGUGCACCGAAAGGUAGCACGGGAUGGAUAGCUGGUUAAUAUUCCAGCCCCUAUAUAUACAGUGAUGUGGUAACAUAUCGGGAUGUGUAAGAGCUUACUAAGGAUGUGAGUUAAGAAGACGAAGCAACUCUGAUUUAUCAGAGGGCAGAGGUUGGAAAAUCCGCUUUUGUUUCACGUUGAGUCGGAUUAAGAUCGAUUUCUUCGGAAUGAAGUAUUCUUAUAGUUCUGGUAUCAAGAAAACCCACUAAACUUAUGUAUAUGUAGCCCGUACCCAGAUCAGACACAUGGAGGGAGGUAGAGAAUACCAAGGCGAUCGAGAUAACUAAUGGAUAAGGAACUCGGCAAAUUAGCGGGCGUACGUUAGCAAUAAGCCCUGCCCUGCAGAAAUGUAGGGCCGCAGCGAAUGACGUGGGGGGAACUGUUUAUCAAAAACACAGCUCUCUGCUAACAUGAAAAUGGAUGUAUAGAGGGUGACGCCUGUCCAAUGCCAGAAUGUCAAGUUCUUUGGUGCAAGCUUGAGAAUCAAGCACUGGUGAAUGACGGCCGUAACUAUGACGGUCCUAAGGUAGCGAAAUUCCUUGUCGGGUAAGUUCCGACGCGCACGAACGGCGUAAUCAUCCCCACACUGUCUUGUCCUUAGACUCGGUGAAAUUACAAUCCCGGUAAAAAUGCCGGGUAGUUGCAGUUAGACGGAAAGACCCCGUGAAGCUUUACUGUAAAUUGAUAUUGGAAUGUAGCUUAUGUUGCUCAGUAUAAGUGGGAGGCUUUGAUGUUUCGACUUUGGUCGGGGCGGAGCCAACAAGUGAGAUACCACUCAUCGUAUGUAGCAUUUCUAACCCCUAAAUUGGGGAACAGUGUCAGUUGGAC
rnacentral:rRNA from 1 species